UGGGCUGGCUUAUUUAUUAAUAUUGGGCCUCUGAUUUUAUUUAAAUGGCCGAUUUUAAUUACUGAUUGGGCCUCCGAUUUUAAUUAUAUGGGCUUUGAUUUAAUUGUUGUUUUGAUUUGUAUGGGCUUCAUUUAAUUGAGUUGGACUUUAUUAAUUGGGCCAUUUCAUUGGGCCGGAGUUUAUUUAAUUAUGUUGGACUCCUUAUUUGGGCUUCGUUUCAGUGGGCCAAUUUUAUUUUAAAUUAUAGUGGGCUUGAGUUGGGCCGAAAAUUUGGGCCUUUAUUUUAUUUUCUUUGGGCUUCAUAAUUAUUUAUUUUUGGGCCUUGUUGUAUUUAUUAUAAUUGGACCUAAUUCAAUUAUUUUGCUUGGGCUUUAGUUUAAUUCAUUGGGCCUAAUUUAAUUAAUUCAUUGGGCUUUGUUAUUUUAUUCCGAUUGGGCCUCCUAAUUAUUUUCUUUAGGCCUUGGUUAUUUAUUCAACUGGGCCCUAAAUUUUUUUUAAUUACUUGAGUCCAUGAAUUACUCCAACUAAACUUUUCAAUUUAAUUAUUGGAAUGCCACGAUUUAUUUAAAUCAAGCCCAUAUUUGUUUAAUUAAUUAUUAGGCUGCCUUAUGUUGAGCCUUUUAAUUAUUUAAUCUUAUAACAUUACUAUUCCUAUUUAUUAAGCCGAGAGAUUUUAUGAGAUUAUUCAGCGAAUAAGCCGAAUUAGUUAUAUCUUAGUAACGACCACGAAGGAUGGAUUUAUUUAAUUGGCGAAUUAGAACACCCUAAGAGAACGGAUUAAUUUUUAUUAAUUAUCCGGCUUCAUGAGACGAGACUUAGCUUUUGUUUAAAUCCAAUAGCUUGGAUUAACAAUAGAAAUUCCCUGAUUAUUAUUUCAGAAUAAUAAUUCAUGCAUAAGGAUCAUGCAUAGUUAAAUACACAUUCUCAUUUGAUGAUUUUAUUCGAGCAAAUAUCUUAUAUAUGUACAUAUAUUCUCGUAAUAAAGGUCAAGGGUGAGAUUGACAAUCUGUUGAGGAGCUUUUGUAUCACAGAAAAUCACUAUCAGGUUGAGCAGCUGCCGAUGUUGAUGAAGUGACGAGCGGGAUUCUUUUGUCUUAUUAUGUAUUAAUGAACUCUAGGGUUACAUGUCUUCAUACAUGUAAUCAGAACCUUAUUCCGCUGCGUACUCAGAAGUUUUAUGUUUAUUUGGCUAAGUCAGAGAUAUCUGAACUUACUAGUUAUUUGAGUCUAUACGACUAAACUUCUGUUAUAUUAUAAAUAUCCCUUUUGUUAAAUGAUGAAAUGUGAUUCUUCUU